rnacentral:rRNA from 1 species
AGAGCGAACGCUGGCGGCAGGCCUAACACAUGCAAGUCGAGCGCCCAGCAAUGGGAGCGGCAGACGGGAUAGUAACACGUGGGAACGUACCUUUCAGUUCGGAACAACCCAGGGAAACUUGGGCUAAUACCGAAUACGUCCGUAAGGAGAAAGAUUUAUCGCUGAAAGAUCGGCCCGCGUCUGAUUAGCUAGUUGGUGAGGUAAUGGCUCACCAAGGCGACGAUCAGUAGCUGGUCUGAGAGGAUGAUCAGCAUCACUGGGACUGAGACACGGCCCAGACUCCUACGGGAGGCAGCAGUGGGGAAUAUUGGACAAUGGGCGCAAGCCUGAUCCAGCCAUGCCGCGUGGAUGAUGAAGGCCUUAGGGUUGUAAAGUCCUUUCGGCGGGGAAGAUAAUGACGGUACCCGCAGAAGAACGCCCGGCUAACUUCGCGCCAGCAGCCGC